rnacentral:rRNA from 1 species
CAGCGCCACGAGUGGCAUACACAUUUAUUGGGCCUAAAGCGUCCGUAGCCGGUUUGGUAAAUCUUUUGUGAAAUCAUAGGGCUUAACUCUAUGGCGUGCAGAAGACACUACUAAACUUGGAACCGGGAGGAGUCAGAGGAAUUCUUGGGGGAGCGGUAAAAUGCUAUAAUCCUUAGAAGACCACCUGUCGCGAAGGCGUCUGACUAGAACGGAUUCGACAGUGAGGGACGAAAGCCAGGGGAGCGAACCGGAUUAGAUACCCGAGUAGUCC